GCAUAUCAAUAAGCGGAGGAAAAGAAAAUAACAAUGAUUCCCCUAGUAACUGCGAGUGAAGAGGGACAAGCUCAAAUUUUAAAUCUAUCGGGUUUUACCUGAUCGAGUUGUAAUUUGAAGAAGCGUUUUCUGCGUAUUUGAUCAGCCUAAGUCCUAUUGAAUGAGGCAUCAUGGAGGGUGAUAAUCCCGUCCGGUUGAUCAUUUGCGUUUUACGAUACGCUUUCUAAGAGUCAAGUUGUUUGGGAUUGCAGCUUAAAAUGGGAGGUAAAUUUCUCCUAAGGCUAAAUAACGGCGAGAGACCGAUAGCGAACAAGUACCGUGAGGGAAAGAUGAAAAGAACUUUGAAAAGAGAGUUAAACAGUACGUGAAAUUGUUGAAAGGGAAACGAUUGAAGCCAGUCGUACCUUCGGGUAAUCAGCCUUUCGGGUGCGAUUCUGUGGAGUGUGAGGAGUUAAACACCUUCAUGUUUUGCAUAUUCGUACUCUUGGGUGUACUUGCCCGUGUGGUUGGUUAACAUCAAUUUUGGUGGUCAUAAAAUGACUGGAGGAAUGUAGCUUCGAUCUCGUAUUGAAGUGUUAUAGCCUUCGGUAGAUGUGAUGAUCGAGAUUGAGGAUUGCAACGGAUACCCUUCGGGGCUACCUGUCUGAUCUCUGAUCGUUGCUCUGGUGCCGAAAGCUUGCUUACGGUUAUCAAAGUCGAUGGUCAAUAGGUUAGAACGGGUUAAAUUCGUUAAGGAUGUUGACGUAAUGGCUUUAAACGAC
rnacentral:rRNA from 1 species